GGUGAGGGAUGACUGUCUGGCCAGUGGGACAGACUGCAAAACACCAGCAGAGUGGUCAGUAGGCCAACCUCUGCAACUGAGGCAAGUUACAAGAAAACAAGCCAAAUAAUCCAAACAUCUUUUUGCUGGACACCCUGAGCAAAAUGCGUGAUCAUACCUGCGGCGAUGGCAAUUGUCAGGGCGGUAAAAAGGGGCGGGCCUUUGACGUCUGGCGUAACACAAUGAGGGUCCUUGAAUAGAGGCACUGUUGUACUGAUUGGCCCAUAUCUGGCUACCGAGAGCCACUCACAGUGGUAUGUGUGUGUGUGUGUGUGUGUGUUUGUGCGUGUGCGCGUGUGUGUGUGUGUGGCGAGUGGAAAACAUUUACAGGAAGGUUACAGGCUUCGGAGAAGCAGACCCUUUGUGCUGGGAUUGCUCUGGAUGGCCGGGCUUCCUACUGGGGCUUCUGAGCAUCUGAGCAAAGACUGCCCACUGGUGAUUAUGGGUGCUUUGCUUAAAUUUCUCAGCCCUCAGGCUCUUACUAAGGAUACCCCCACUGAUGAAGGCAUCCUUUGAAGAGUCAUCUUUGUAACAGUCAAAGAGGAGAAAUCAGACAGACCAGUGACCAGUGCAUUCUCAUGAAGUGCCUGUGAAGUGGAUGAACAUGCAAUGACCUCUUGAAAUGACAAAUCCCUUUCUAGGGAAAAUUAUGAAACCCAACAUUUGAAUGAACAAAUGGCCUCUGGCACAUUUGUGCUACGUCAGCUGCAUUUUUGGAACACUUGUGUUGCAUUUGGCUGUGAUGCGUUGCUGCUGACUAUGGUCUGUUCUCUCUGCUUAGCUCAGUAAGCCGAUACUGUACACUGCAAAGACUGAGAGACUCAGGAAGAGUUUCUUCCCCCAAGCCGUCCAGUACCUAAAUGGCACUGUUUAAGCACUUUUUAUUGAGUAUACCACUGUUCCCCUGUAGAGCAUAUCACUUCUUCCCUAUCUGCAAUAACCCCCUGACAUCUUGAAUAUUGUUUCUUGUCUGUUACUGUUUUUGGUACUGUAGGUUGUUCUGUGUCAGUUUGUGUGUUUUUGCUUGGCAAGGAGCCGACUGUAACAUUUCACUGCAUUGUAUGUAUGUGACAAAUAAAAUCUGAAUCUGAA